UACAGAGGGUGCAAACGUUGCUCGGAAUUAUUGGGCGUAAAGCGCAUGUAGGCGGCUCGGUAAGUUCGUUGUGAAAGCCCUUGGCUCAACCAAGGAAGUGCAACGAAAACUGCCGAGCUCGAGUUCUGAAGAGGGUCGCGGAAUGGCCAGUGUAGAGGUGAAAUUCGUAGAUAUUGGCUAGAACACCAGUGGCGAAGGCGGCGACCUGGGAAGAUACUGACGCUGAGAUGCGAAAGCGUGGGGAGCAAACAGG
rnacentral:rRNA from 1 species